GGAUUCCCCUAGUAACUGCGAGUGAAGAGGGAAAAGCUCAAAUUUAAAAUCUGGUAGUCUUUGGCUGCCCGAGUUGUAAUUUAGAGAAGUGUUACCCGUUGUUGGGCCGUGUACAAGUCUCCUGGAAUGGAGCGUCAUAGAGGGUGAGAAUCCCGUCUUUGACACGGACUCCAAUGCGUUGUGGUAUGCUCUCAAAGAGUCGAGUUGUUUGGGAAUGCAGCUCUAAAUGGGUGGUAAAUUCCAUCUAAAGCUAAAUAUUGGGGAGAGACCGAUAGCGAACAAGUACCGUGAGGGAAAGAUGAAAAAAGAACUUUGGAAAGAGAGUUAAACAGUACGUGAAAUUGCUGAAAGGAAAACGCUUGAAGUCAGUCGCGUUAGUUGGGGAUCAGCCUUCCUUUUGGUUGGUGUACUUCCCAGUGGACGGGUCAGCAUCAGUUUUGACCAGUGGAUAAGAGCUUGNGGAAUGUGGCACCUUCGGGUGUGUUAUAGCCUCUUGUUGUAUACAUUGGUUGGGACUGAGGAACUCAGUACGCCCCAAGGCCGGGUUUUUAACCACGUUCGUACUUAGGAUGCUGGC
rnacentral:rRNA from 1 species